rnacentral:lncRNA from 1 species
AGUUGCUUUUCGAUAAGCUAUGAAUACUCAACGCCCCAAAUUAACCGUGAAUUGCACUAAUUAACCCUCAAUUUUUUCCACAAGUUAUUAGGUUGGAUGAUUGCAUACGACAACCCAAAACAUUCCCUACAAGUUCCCUACAUGAAUUGCAUAAUAGAGAUACAAGCAAGAAUCAUUAAGUUCUAUGAAAAACAUAAGCAUUAACGAGGCACUCGUUACUAUGAUUUGCAUGAAACUUAUGCCAAGAGUUUACUUAACGUGAUUGUGACUAGCAACCUUCACUACUUGUGAAUAUAAGUUUAUAACGAUUAGGUGAAACUCCCUUAUAUUCUAGCAUCAAAUUCAUGCAUGAAAAUUAAGCGUGCACUCUUAACCAACAUACACAAAUUAGUUUUUAUAUGAACGGAUA